UACAACAUAGUGUUAAUGCACCGUAUCUCAUUAGAACUCCGCAGUUAAGCGUGCUUAGGCUAGAGUAGUAUUGGGAUGGGUGACCGCCCGAGAAGUCCUAGUGUUUUAC
rnacentral:rRNA from 1 species